ensembl:lncRNA
GGGAAGAUCAUUCUGAUGGGGAACGAAAGCUGUCUCUGCUGCUGGUGUGCUGGUGGUCCCAUCAGGCUUCUUAACUAGCCUAAUCAGCAAGACUGCCUUGGACAUGGCAAAGGAUGCAAAGCCUGAGGGUUGUGAUGGAGGGGGGGAGGGACUGAGUAAGGAAAGGGAGAAGGGAGGUGUACCAUCUGUAGACAAGUCCCUCAGCAGAGUUACCAGUCACCCCCAUCUGUCACGCUGUGUCCCCCCUCGUCCCCCUGGGCCAAGCUAUUCAACCACUAACAGAACCGGCACUGGACAAAGAUCAGGAGCUCUCCAGCACAUAAACGCUGACCCUUUAGUAAAACAGACCUAAAUGAAACAUUGGCCUACAGACAGGUAGAAUAGACAUAAAAGAAAUGCAGGGAAUAGUUCACCCAGAAAUGAAAAUCCUGUCAUUAUUUACUCAUCCUCAUGAAAGUCCAAACCCGUAUGUUGUUUUUUUUUAAAGUGGAAUGGAAAAGGAGAAAUUUUGAAUGAUCUUUCAUAGUGACGUUGGUCAGCAC